GAUGAACGCUGGCGGCGUGCCUAAUACAUGCAAGUCGAGCGAACAGAUGAGGAGCUUGCUCCUCUGACGUUAGCGGCGGACGGAUGAGUAACACGUGGAUAACCUACCUAUAAGACUGGGAUAACUUCGGGAAACCGGAGCUAAUACCGGAUAAUAUAUUGAACCGCAUGGUUCAAUAGUGAAAGACGGUUUUGCUGUCACUUAUAGAUGGAUCCGCGCCGCAUUAGCUAGUUGGUAAGGUAACGGCUUACCAAGGCAACGAUGCGUAGCCGACCUGAGAGGGUGAUCGGCCACACUGGAACUGAGACACGGUCCAGACUCCUACGGGAGGCAGCAGUAGGGAAUCUUCCGCAAUGGGCGAAAGCCUGACGGAGCAACGCCGCGUGAGUGAUGAAGGUCUUCGGAUCGUAAAACUCUGUUAUUAGGGAAGAACAAAUGUGUAAGUAACUAUGCACGUCUUGACGGUACCUAAUCAGAAAGCCACGGCUAACUACGUG
rnacentral:rRNA from 1 species